rnacentral:lncRNA from 1 species
CUACGGCAACUGGUCAGGAAACUCGUCCACAGUUACUCUGAAGGUCCUGUCAGCGAGGGUCAGCAAGACGAGCACGUUGGGACAGGAUAUGAUAUGAAACAGAAUGCGGCGAGGUGGUUUGCGUUCUUGGACCAGAGCCCUGGAAAAGCAGCUUGGGAACGGAAUGGAAAUGAUUCCUAGCAAAUUCGCUUACUUCUAUAACCCUACCACCUAGCAUGGGCUUUUGGAGGACUGAGGCCGCGUCACCAGCGGAACAGGUGGCGUCAAUCACAUCAUUUUUCUCAAUCUCAGGUGCCAACAGUGAAACUCCUGAGGUGGCCCCUCCCCGACUUAGGAUUCCUCCUCUGUCCAGGCUAAGAUACCCUGGCUACCUACCUAAGAUACACAAGACCCUGGAUUCAAUCCCCAGUUUUACAAAUUAAAAUAAAUCCCUCAAGAAUAUGGCAAUUGCGUCACACACUCCCUCUUUGGACCUCCGAGCUACAGAAUCUACAAAGGAGGUGCCAGUGAAAGCUGUGAACAAGCCGGGGACAAAAAUCUCUAUGUCUACAGCGACAUUCUCCAGGAUCCCUUCCAGGCAGGUGGCGCCAAAGCACAGGCACAACUGUGCCCCUGACCCGCACAUGCUUGAAGAUUGUCUGAAAAUGGAAUUGGCGCCAAGUCAGAAUCCGUGUUCUUUCCUUCCCUGGAUCCAAACGGAAUGCGCCAAUGUGAAGAGAGAUCCUGGAUCAGCCUGCCUGCCGAAAAUAAACUUCCCACUGUGAGUCCUACUGAGUCAC